AAACCAAAUUUGUAGAUGAUGUGGCCACUCCGAAUCCCUCACAGCUCCAAGCCUACUAUGGUUGGGGAUUUCCUGCAGAGAUGAAAAUAAAGGGUGAGUUCGGUAACUCAGUGUGUAACAUAACCCUACCAUAGCCCAAAAUAGAUCAAACCUCAGAGUCAGACUUAUCUGGGCCUUGGCCCAAUACAGAAAUCAGAAUGAAACCAAUAGGCCCAUAGCAGAUACAGAACAAAUAUAUCAUGAAUGCAGAAAUCCCAACCCAGAGCCAUCCAUAACACCCCCGUACCAGCCAUACACCAUGUGGGGAGACUACUCGACCUACCCAACCGCUACACACCACAAAAAUUGCAGUGAGGCUGCCAGAUAUUGUGACGAAGUCACCAGAUACAGAUAUUGUGGCUAGGCCACCAGAAUAGAUAUAUAUAUGUGGCGAAGCCACCAGAUUGCAACGAGGCUGCCAGAUAUUGUGAUGAAGUCACCAGAACAGAUAUAUGUGGCGAGGCCACCAGAUUGCAGCGAGGCUGCCAGAACACUUCCUCCAUCAAUAUAAACCCAUGUCCCAUGCAACAGAAAUAAUAUGUCAUGGCAUACGUAUACAGAAAUAGAACAUCAUGCUUUUCAGAAAAAAAUAACCCUAGGGGUAAAAUCGUAAUUUUGCAUGCAUAAGGGUAUUUCAGUAAUUAUUACCUAUUGCUAAUGUUUCAUGCUCAUUCUAACGUUUACCAAGUAAUCAGAAGUACUUACCUCGUCUUUUUACCAAAGUGGGCCCGUUGGCCCAUUGGCCCGUUUUCGGCCCGUUAAGCCCAAAAAUACCGUUGUGCACAAAAAUGCACACUCUGCACUCUAAUCAUCCAAAUGCACCAUAUUCAGUAACAACUGUCUCAUGAGCGCUCGCACGUUCGCGAGUUCACAAAAUACCAACGUUUCGGUAUUUCGGCUUUUACCGAUUCAGUCUAAGGGAGGGUGUCGUUUACACAUCUCGUUGAUGACGAUUGAUGAUGAUAUCUCCCACGCGAUAAUCCUAUUAGGAGACUGCAGUUAAUCCACGCUCCAAACACUCUUAGCUGACGCCCAACCCAAACGAGCACGUCACAAAACGAAAGGGAUCAGCCAAAAAGGGUAUGCCUACUCUCCUCAUGGUUUGCUCUAUUAAAAGCCAGCUCUCCAUCCACUCUUAUGUUAGCUUCCCGAUGUGGGAUCCCUCCAUCACCAGAGUUUAAAACCAACAUCAACUCUUGCCGUCCCAACAUAGCAAAAUAAUCAACCUUUGCGUGCCAAGGGAUUCGAACCAAAGUCCUCUCACAUGCCAACUCACGCCACCACCACUAGGCCAUCAACUCAUUUGUGUCAUAAAUCCAACACAUUAAACUUUAAAGUGCACCUACUUGCUUCAAGGUUUAUUGAAAAGAAAAACCAAAAUAUAUUGCAAGAGCCAAGACUUGAACCUUGGAACCCUUUCUUCCUCUAUGGCGUGACUUCCUUGUCCCCUAAGUGGAGCCACCUUGCUACUACACCACACUCCUUUUUGUGUCAUCUUUUACCCUUUUACUCUUAAAAGCCUAAACGCCAAUUGCAUUGCUUGUUCAUAAAAUUAAAAUUUCGAAGACUACCACGGAUUUAACUUAAGUUUGGGCCUUCCAAAGGCCAACUAACCUACUAAAAUAUAUAUUUUAACCAACCAGAACACACACAAAUUUUAAAAAUCACAGAAACACAGAAAACCCAAAAAUUGGGGCGUUACAACUCUACCCUCCUUAAAGAAAUUUCAUCCUCGAAAUUUUACCUGAAUCAAACAGAUGAGGAUAUUAUUGACGCAUCGCCACUUCUGGCUCCCAAAUAGCUUCUUCUCUGCCAUGAUUACGCCACAGCACCUUUACUAGCGGAACUAAUUUCCUCUUCAAAAUCUUAACAUCUCGAUCCAAAAUCUACACAGGCUCUUCCUCAAAAGUCAAGUCUGUUUGGACCUCGAUCUCUGCAACCGGC
rnacentral:lncRNA from 1 species